rnacentral:misc_RNA from 1 species
GAUGAAAACGCAGUGAAAUGCGAUACUUGGUAUGAAUUGCAGAAUCCCGUGAACCAUCGAGUCUUUGAACGCAAGUUGCGCCCGAAGCCAUUAGGCCGAGGGCACGCCUGCCUGGGCGUCACACGUCGUUGCCCCCCCAUCUACUCCUUCGGGAUUGCGGGGGGCGGAUGAUGGCCUCCCGUGCGCCUUGUCGCGCGGUUGGCAUAAAUGCCAAGUCCUCGGCGACGCACGCCACGACAAUCGGUGGUUGCGAAACCUCGGUUGCCCGUCGUGUGCGGUCGUCGCGCAUCGAGGGCUCGAAAAAAUUGUCGGGCUCCGGCUCGGCUUUCAACGCGACCCCAGGUCAGGCGGGGUUACCCGCUGAAUUUAAGCAUAUCAAUAAGCGGAGGA